rnacentral:sRNA from 1 species
CGGGCAGCGCAUCCAAUCAAAAUCUUUGGAGCUAUGCCACCAAAGGCGGAGGUCAAGGAUUGUGUUUUCCUUACUGAACAACCAUUUGGAGGGCAAUCGGAUUAAAUUACCCAUAAAAAUAAUUGCUAGAACCGGCAUUCGUCGGUCUGAGAUAAACAGAGUGAAGUGAUAAGAUUACGUAGGCGGAAGAAAAUGUCCGCUCGCCGUCUCGUCCUGGAGCUCCUCGUCCACUAUGGAGGCCCAAAGGAUCUGCACCUAAGUGGACUGUGACAGCCACUGGCUGUCCAUCUGCAAGCCAUAGCCAUGAUAUCGCUGCUGUGUCGCUGAGUCGACAAUGUGGCGUCCCAUCCACUGCAGCAGGGACCAGUGAUCGACGGCGGAAUUGUUGGUUCACGCCCACAGGAAAUAAUAUCAGCAACCCCUUUUUCAUUUGCCGCCGAAUCAAACGCUGGGAUUUAGCAUCGAGACGCAGGACUUAUGUACCCAACGCUUUGCCACAAGCCUGAUACGACCAUCCGACGGAGACCUAUCCAAGCAUUAUCGAGGCGUAUUCGAGACAGACUGAGUCCUUUUCCAGACAGAGAGAAUCCUAUCCCAGCAAGACAGAAGCACACCCCUUGCAAGAUCCGAAGCAAGCCAUCGACUUUGCCAUCGACAACAAGGACUUUGACUAUGGUAACCAAGGGAGGAGCUACUCGGUCUGCUGGACUCUAGAUAGAUCUCGUUGUUGUUAAGGUUAAGGAUAUGAAAUUCCAUUCACUUAGAUAGUAGAUACAAAUUGUUUCCGCUUGUUCAUUUAUUUAUA